rnacentral:rRNA from 1 species
CCCUUAGAUGUUCUGGGCGGCCCGCGCACUACAAUGGCGUGUGCAGCGAGUGCCGAAGUAGAGUUUUCCGAGGUAUUCUUGCAAUGCUCGUUUUGAUGGGGAUAGACCCUUGCAACUGUUGGUUUUGAACGAGGAAUUCCUUGUAAGCAUGGUUUAUCAUCCGACGCUGAAUGCGUCCCUGCCCUUUGUACACACCGCCCGUCGCUCCUACCGAUGAGUCGUCCGGUGAAGUUCGUAGACCUCGUGAUCGCAGAUCACUGGGGGAAGCAAAAUGAACCUCGCGGUUUAGAGGAAGGAGAAGUCGUAACA